UAAAACUCACCAGGUCCGGAUACACGUAUGAAAGACAAGCUGAAAGACUUUUCUCAAUGAUGUAAGUGGUGGUGCAUGGUCGUUCUUAGUUCGUGGAGUGGUUUGUCUGGUCUAUUCCGAUAACGAGCGAGACCCCGACGUUCCUAAUAGGGGCGGCAGCCCGGCUUUCGCCCGCAAGGGUGUUCGCUAGCAGCCGCCUCACAAUAUGCUUCUUAGACGUAUCAGAAUCGAAAAGGUUCUUGAAAUGGGUUAAUAACAGGUUGUUCUUAUGGACUGGCCUGCAAGAGUCGGUUCUGCUAUCCCUCGGGAAGGCAGUGGCUGGCUAGUGGGACUGAGCCGCUUCCCCCUCGGGGGUCGUGGGGAGGUACUGCGACACUUUCAAAGUGCGGGGACACCCUGUUGAAAGCACAAUCUUAGCUUUGCUCCCCCGAAAGGGGACCUGGCGGGUUGGGCCUGGGGCUAUCCGCAGCCAAACCCUAAACGAGACGCCGCAAGGCUCUCGCACGGGCGCAGUUCACAGACUAGACGGAAGUGGGGUUGUGCAUACGGCAUUCCUGAACCAAUAAAGGAGUGUCUCAGCAGCCUUAAGAGAUAGCCGAACCAUGGCUUUAAAGCCAUCGGAUUGCAGUCAUGCCCUUAGAUGUUCUGGGCCGCACGCGCGUUACAAUGGCAUGCUUUAGAAAGUGCUCAAAAGGGCAAAUCCGCGGC
rnacentral:rRNA from 1 species